GCUAACACAUACAGCAUCGUUUCAUUCAUUUUUCAGUGAUGUGUGGCAUAUUUCUAUUUUGCUACAGUCUUUAUAAUAUAAGUUGAUAAAGUAAUAUAAAAUUUAUAACUCAGAAUUUUAUGAAGGAACGUGUUGACCUUAAGCAUUUUAAAAGGUUACAAAAAUAAUGUACAUAGUAAUAAGAAAUGAAGCAUAACAGAGGUGUACCAAGCACAAAACCACUGUUACCCUACUCUUCACAUUUUAUUUGUAUGAAUCUUAAUAUGUACCUUUUUUGUUAUUAGACAGGAUAGGUAGGUUUUGAUUAAAUUGUGGGAAAAGGCCCAAUAGGAGGCA
rnacentral:lncRNA from 1 species